rnacentral:rRNA from 1 species
GGCGUUAAGUUGCAGGGUAUAGACCCGAAACCCGGUGAUCUAGCCAUGGGCAGGUUGAAGGUUGGGUAACACUAACUGGAGGACCGAACCGACUAAUGUUGAAAAAUUAGCGGAUGACCUGUGGCUGGGGGUGAAAGGCCAAUCAAACCGGGAGAUAGCUGGUUCUCCCCGAAAGCUAUUUAGGUAGCGCCUCGUGAAUUCAUCUCCGGGGGUAGAGCACUGUUUCGGCUAGGGGGCCAUCCCGGCUUACCAACCCGAUGCAAACUGCGAAUACCGGAGAAUGUUAUCACGGGAGACACACGGCGGGUGCUAACGUCCGUCGUGAAGAGGGAAACAACCCAGACCGCCAGCUAAGGUCCCAAAGUCAUGGUUAAGUGGGAAACGAUGUGGGAAGGCCCAGACAGCCAGGAUGUUGGCUUAGAAGCAGCCAUCAUUUAAAGAAAGCGUAAUAGCUCACUGGUCGAGUCGGCCUGCGCGGAAGAUGUAACGGGGCUAAACCAUGCACCGAAGCUGCGGCAGCGACGCUGAUGCGU